AGGAUGAACGCUAGCUACAGGCUUACACAUGCAAGUCGAGGGGCAGCAUGGUCUUAGCUUGCUAAGGCCGAUGGCGACCGGCGCACGGGUGAGUAACACGUAUCCAACCUGCCGUCUACUCUUGGACAGCCUUCUGAAAGGAAGAUUAAUACAAGAUGGCAUCAUGAGUCCGCAUGUUCACAUGAUUAAAGGUAUUCCGGUAGACGAUGGGGAUGCGUUCCAUUAGAUAGUAGGCGGGGUAACGGCCCACCUAGUCUUCGAUGGAUAGGGGUUCUGAGAGGAAGGUCCCCCACAUUGGAACUGAGACACGGUCCAAACUCCUACGGGAGGCAGCAGUGAGGAAUAUUGGUCAAUGGGCGAGAGCCUGAACCAGCCAAGUAGCGUGAAGGAUGACUGCCCUAUGGGUUGUAAACUUCUUUUAUAAAGGAAUAAAGUCGGGUAUGGAUACCCGUUUGCAUGUACUUUAUGAAUAAGGAUCGGCUAACUCCGUGCCAGCAGCCGCGGUAAUACGGAGGAUCCGAGCGUUAUCCGGAUUUAUUGGGUUUAAAGGGAGCGUAGAUGGAUGUUUAAGUCAGUUGUGAAAGUUUGCGGCUCAACCGUAAAAUUGCAGUUGAUACUGGAUAUCUUGAGUGCAGUUGAGGCAGGCGGAAUUCGUGGUGUAGCGGUGAAAUGCUUAGAUAUCACGAAGAACUCCGAUUGCGAAGGCAGCCUGCUAAGCUGCAACUGACAUUGAGGCUCGAAAGUGUGGGUAUCAAACAGGAUU
rnacentral:rRNA from 2 species